rnacentral:rRNA from 1 species
GGGCGUAAGCGUGCGUAGGUGGCCAAUUAAGUCAAAUGUGAAAUCCCCGAGCUUAACUUGGGAAUUGCAUUCGAUACUGGUUGGCUAGAGUAUGGGAGAGGAUGGUAGAAUUCCAGGUGUAGCGGUGAAAUGCGUAGAGAUCUGGAGGAAUACCGAUGGCGAAGGCAGCCAUCUGGCCUAAUACUGACACUGAGGUACGAAAGCAUGGGGAGCAAACAGGAUUAGAUACCCUGGUAGUCCAUGCCGUAAACGAUGUCUACUAGCCGUUGGGGUCUUUGAGACUUUAGUGGCGCAGCUAACGCGAUAAGUAGACCGCCUGGGGAGUACGGUCGCAAGACUAAAACUCAAAUGAAUUGACGGGGGCCCGCACAAGCGGUGGAGCAUGUGGUUUAAUUCGAUGCAACGCGAAGAACCUUACCUGGUCUUGACAUAGUAAGAACUUUCCAGAGAUGGAUUGGUGCCUUCGGGAACUUACAUACAGGUGCUGCAUGGCUGUCGUCAGCUCGUGUCGUGAGAUGUUGGGUUAAGUCCCGCAACGAGCCGCAACCCUUUUCCUUAUUUGCCAGCGGGUUAA